rnacentral:lncRNA from 1 species
AUCCCAGCAUGCUGCUUCCUGCCCGCCUCCUCCCACACCCUACCUGGCAGGCUGCAGGCAGGGAUGCUGCAGCCGGCAGCAGUGCAGGCAGCUGAGGGGCAUGCCCCGGGGGGGCCGGCGGCUCAGCACCAGGAGCCCCGCUGCAGAUGAAGCCCUGGGAGAGGUGCCGGAACAUCCCAUGCUGCGCUGCCUGGACUGGAAGAGGACAAGACGGAGAGCAGCCACGAGACUUGCUGGGACCUGUGCUGAUUCUUGCCACACAAGAUGACAGCAAGAGACGGGCCCCAAGAUAGGUACAAGGCUGUCUGGCUGAUCUUCUUCAUCCUUGGCCUGGGAACGCUGCUACCAUGGAAUUUCUUCAUGACCGCCAGGGAGGUGAGGGCUUCCCUCCCACUGCUUCCCGUGACACUAAUCGUCCCCUGCCACAUCUAGGGACCAUGGUGUAGUUGUGGCA